UACGUAGGGGGCAAGCGUUGUCCGGAAUCAUUGGGCGUAAAGAGCGUGUAGGCGGCCAUACAGGUCAGCUGUGAAAACUCGAGGCUCAACCUCGAGACGUCGGUUGAAACCGUAUGGCUAGAGUCCGGAAGAGGAGAGUGGAAUUCCCGGUGUAGCGGUGAAAUGCGCAGAUAUCGGGAGGAACACCAGUGGCGAAGGCGGUUGCCUGGAGCUUUGCUGACGCUGAGGCGCGAAAGCGUGGGGAGCGAGUCCGG
rnacentral:rRNA from 1 species